rnacentral:rRNA from 1 species
AACGCGAAGAACCUUACCCAGGCUUGACAUCCUGUGAAGGUAUCCGAAAGGAUACUGUGCCUUCGGGAAUACAGUGACAGGUGAUGCAUGGCCGUCGUCAGCUCGUGUCGUGAGAUGUUUGGUUAAGUCCAUCAACGAGCGCAACCCUUGUAGUUAGUUGUAUUUUUCUAACUAGACUGCCCUGGUAACAGGGAGGAAGGAGGGGAUGAUGUCAGGUCAGUAUUUCCCUUACGUCUGGGGCUACAAACACGCUACAAUGGCCGGUACAAAGGGCUGCCAAGUCGCGAGACGGAGCAAACCCCAUCAAAGCCGGUCUCAGUUCGGAUUGCAGGCUGAAACUCGCCUGCAUGAAGCUGGAAUCGCUAGUAACGGUAGGUCAGCACACUACCGUGAAUACGUUCCCGGGCCUUGUACACACCGACAUA